rnacentral:rRNA from 1 species
ACGAACGCUGGCGGCGUGCUUAACACAUGCAAGUCGAACGGAAAGGCCCUGCUUUUGUGGGGUGCCCGAGUGGCGAACGGGUGAGUAACACGUGAGUAACCUGCCCUUGACUUUGGGAUAACUUCAGGAAACUGGGGCUAAUACCGGAUAGGAGCUCCUGCUGCAUGGUGGGGGUUGGAAAGUUUCGGCGGUUGGGGAUGGACUCGCGGCUUAUCAGCUUGUUGGUGGGGUAGUGGCUUACCAAGGCUUUGACGGGUAGCCGGCCUGAGAGGGUGACCGGCCACAUUGGGACUGAGAUACGGCCCAGACUCCUACGGGGGGCAGCAGUGGGGAAUAUUGCACAAUGGGCGGAAGCCUGAUGCAGCAACGCCGCGUGCGGGAUGACGGCCUUCGGGUUGUAAACCGCUUUCGCCUGUGACGAAGCGUGAGUGACGGUAAUGGGUAAAGAAGCACCGGCUAACUACGUG